CCCUUAGAUGUUCUGGGCCGCACGCGUGCUACACUGAUGCAUUCAACGAGUCUAAAACCUGGUCUGAUAGGGCUGGGUAAUCUUUUGAAAGUGCAUCGUGAUUGGGAUAGAUGAUCGCAAUUCUUCAUCUUCAACGAGGAAUGCCUAGUAAACGCAAGUCAUCAGCUUGCAUUGAUUACGUCCCUGCCCUUUGUACACACCGCCCGUCGCUCCUACCGAUUGAAUGAUCCGAUGAAUACCAUGGAUUGAGAGUACGAAUAGGUUCGCUUAUUUCUGCUGCUCGAGAAGUGGAGUAAAUCUUAUCAUUUAGAGGAAGGAGAAGUCGUAACA
rnacentral:rRNA from 1 species